rnacentral:rRNA from 1 species
AAUAGAUACCCAGGUAGUCCACGCCGUAAACGAUGAGUGCUAAGUGUUAGGGGGGUUCCACCCCUUAGUGCUGCAGCUAACGCAUUAAGCACUCCGCCUGGGGAGUACGGUCGCAAGACUGAAACUCAAAGGAAUUGACGGGGGCCCGCACAAGCGGUGGAGCAUGUGGUUUAAUUCGAAGCAACGCGAAGAACCUUACCAGGUCUUGACAUCCCGCUGACCGCCAUGGAGACAUGGCCUUCCCUUCGGGGACAGCGGUGACAGGUGGUGCAUGGUUGUCGUCAGCUCGUGUCGUGAGAUGUUGGGUUAAGUCCCGCAACGAGCGCAACCCUUGUCCUUAGUUGCCAUCAUUCAGUUGGGCACUCUAAGGAGACUGCCGUACAAAUACGGAGGAAGGCGGGGAUGACGUCAAAUCAUCAUGCCCCUUAUGACCUGGGCUACGCACGUGCUACAAUGGGUGGUACAAAGGGCGGCGAACCCGCGAGGGGAGCGAAUCCCAAAAAGCCACUCUCAGUUCGGAUUGCAGG